AUAAUAAUAAUAAUAAACAGUGUGAUAAUAACAACAACAACAACAACAACAACAACAACAAACGGCUCAAGGAGGAGGUGGAUAACAACGGGCGAUUGUCAUUCGGAACGCGAGAAUUACGGGAUCGCGUGUGCGCGUGCGUUCGCGCCCCAUUGUGUUCGCGUUCGCGGUGACCGUAUUCGCGGUGUUACCGUACGGCGCACAAUCGCACACGUAUAUUAUAAUAAUAAUAAUAAUAAUAAUAAUAAUAGUAAUAGUAAUAAUAAUAUGAUAUGAUAUUCACAAAAGGCGCGUUAUCCCCCGACGGUGUGCGUACCUGAAGCUA